rnacentral:rRNA from 1 species
AAUGAACGCUAGCGGCAGGCCUAACACAUGCAAGUCGAGGGGUAGGGUUAGCUUGCUAACUUGAGACCGGCGCACGGGUGCGUAACGCGUAUGCAAUCUACCUUGUACAGGGGGAUAGCCCAGAGAAAUUUGGAUUAAUACCCCAUGGUGUUAUGAUGUGGCAUCACAUUAUAACUAAAGUUCCAACGGUACAAGAUGAGCAUGCGUCCCAUUAGCUAGUUGGUGUGGUAACGGCAUACCAAGGCAAUGAUGGGUAGGGGUCCUGAGAGGGAGAUCCCCCACACUGGUACUGAGACACGGACCAGACUCCUACGGGAGGCAGCAGUGAGGAAUAUUGGUCAAUGGGCGCAAGCCUGAACCAGCCAUGCCGCGUGCAGGAUGACGGUCCUAUGGAUUGUAAACUGCUUUUAUACGGGAAGAAACACUCCUACGUGUAGGAACUUGACGGUACCGUAAGAAUAAGGAUCGGCUAACUCCGUGCCAGCCGCCGCCGUAA